GGGGGUGGCUGGUGGCUUUGUGGUGGAGUGUGUGUUUCGCAUUUAUGAGAUCCGUGUUUUAAUCCCUGGCACCUCCAUC
rnacentral:tRNA from 1 species